CCCUUAGAUGUUCUGGGCUGCACGCGUGCUACACUGAUUACUUCAACAAGUGUUUUAACUGGAGAGUUCGCGUAAUCCUGAAAUGUUAUCGUGAUGGGAGUAGAGUAUUGUAUUUGUUAAUCUUUAACGAGGACUUCCUAGUAAGUGUAGGUUUAUUUGUUUUUUUUUUUACGUCCCUGCCCUUUGUACACACCGCCCGUCGCUCCUACCGAUUGAUUGAUCCGGUGAGGCUUUGGGAUCUGAGCGGAAAGAGCGUUUCGCUGUUUCUGCUCGGAAAACUCAGUCGAACCUUAUCAUUUAGAGGAAGGAGAAGUCGUAACA
rnacentral:rRNA from 1 species